rfam:Picea glauca, whole genome shotgun sequence.
UCCUAAGUAGCUCAAUGGUAGAGAGGUUGGCUGUUAAUUGACUGGUCAUAAGUUCAAAUCCUACUUGGGGAG